UACGUAGGGUGCAAGCGUUGUCCGGAAUUAUUGUGCGUAAAGAGCUCGUAGGCGGUUUGUCGCGUCUGCUGUGAAAACUCGGGGCUUAACUCCGGGCCUGCAGUGGGUACGGGCAGACUAGAGUGCGGUAGGGGAGACUGGAAUUCCUGGUGUAGCGGUGAAAUGCGCAGAUAUCAGGAGGAACACCGGUGGCGAAGGCGGGUCUCUGGGCCGUAACUGACGCUGAGGAGCGAAAGCGUGGGGAGCGAACAGG
rnacentral:rRNA from 1 species